UAGGAUAAAUGUUGCUUUGUUUUUCCCUGAUUUCCCUGUUAUCCCAUACCUUAGGUAAAGCAAGGUCAAAUUUGAAUUGGUUUUCUAUGGACUUCUGUUCCUACAAUACUUGAAAAUCUUUAAGAAAAAGGUGAAAAUUCUAGUAUUAUUUUUUCCUGCGAGGUGGUUACUUUUUCUAGGACUAAUUUUGAAGCAGUUCAGUAGAUAAAGAAGGAUGCAUACACUGACUAGAAAAUUAUGUUUGCAGUUAAUUUAAUUUCAAAAGAUUACUUCAAUACCCAUAUUACUUGCCAAGCAGUAUAAUUUGUAGGGAACAUAAUUAAGAUUACAGAAUUAUUAAUUUGGUUAAAAUUCACCAUUUCAUAAGGAUAGGCAAUAAUGUUUAAAAAUCACAUAAAAGUCUUUAUGGUGUUUUGACUAAAUUGUGCUUGAUUUGUAGUCUAAACCUUCUUAGUGAUUAUCUGGUGUCCCGCAUGAAAAACUGUAUCUUUGAAAUUAUAAACCUAAAUUCAUUAAGGUGUAUCCACAAUACUUAACACCCAGUGAUUGGCAACAGUUGUGUAGAGCAGUAUUGUCAGGAGGUGAUUAUCUUUUAUUGGAAACCCACUACACCACUGUUAGCGCGGGUGAGGGGAGCUGUUUAUGUUUUUCCCCCAGGUGCUGAUAAACCUAUCUGUAUUCCUGAAAGCAACAAAAUAACAAAGGUGAUGAUCCUCAUCCUUCUGACACAGACAUGGAGCAUACAGGGUAAUGUCGCUGCUGGCAUCGCCUGUCUCAGACUGCGGUUGCAGCUUCCACGGUUGAUACCUUGUCAGGAAAGAAACCGACUUCUUCAAUAGCCUGGAUUUGGGUUUAUUAGCCUUGACUCCUGUUGACACGACUUAAAUGCAGUGGAGUAAAACAUCUGACUCUAACAUCUGUGGGGGCAUCAGCUGAGCAUGUGGGGAGAUAACUCAGAAAGCUCAUGAUGACCGCUGCCCCACUCCAAGGGAGGUGGUGUUUUGACAUCUAACCCUCGGCGCACCCAGCUCAGUCAGCACUCUUCGUCCUCUCCUGCCCGCCCCUUCUGAUCGAUCUGCGGGGACUAGAUGUUCAGGUGUCCUAAAGUCACAUGCAAAAAAGCAAAGAAGAGGUGUUCUGAAGAGGUCGUGCUGUGAAGCGGAUGUGCUUUAGAGACGGGGUCAAAGUUCAGACGCUGUGUGAACUACUCGGGAUCCUUUCAGUGCGUCUGUGCUUUGUUUCGUUCCCAUUCACAGCGGAACUUCAGAAGUGUGCUGUCUUUGGAUGUGUGAGACACUGACAUGGUCUUAAGUGUUACUUGACACCGUACACUUGUUACCGUGUCUUGUGUAGAAUUAUGACUGGCCGAGUAAGACCCAAUAAAUAUUGUUGGACAGA